rnacentral:rRNA from 1 species
UACGGAGGGGGCUAGCGUUGUUCGGAAUUACUGGGCGUAAAGCGCGCGUAGGCGGACCUGCAAGUCGGGGGUGAAAGCCCGAGGCUCAACCUCGAAACUGCCUUCGAUACUGCGGGUCUCGAGUCCGGGAGAGGUGAGUGGAAUUCCUAGUGUAGAGGUGAAAUUCGUAGAUAUCUGGAGGAAUACCGGUGGCGAAGGCGGCAUCCUGGACCAACACUGACGCUGAGGCGCGAAAGCUAGGGGAGCAAACGGGG